UUGAAAGGGAAACGAUUGAAGUCAGUCAUGCCGAUGGGAAUCAACUUAGGGGAAACUCUGGGUGCACUUCUUCGUUUGGCAGGUUAGUGUUGAUUUUGGGUGUCAUAAAAUAAUUGGGGGAAGGUAGCUCUUUCGGGAGUGUUAUAGCCCCUGGUAGAUGUGAUAUCUAGGAUCGAGGAUUGCAACGGAUACCUUCGGGGCUAACAGCCUAAUCUCUAAUUGGUGUUGGGUUACGGACAGCAUGCUGCCCUUUCUAAUUACUGGUUAAAAGGUUAGAGCGUGUAUAAUUCGUUAAGGAUGUUGACGUA
rnacentral:rRNA from 1 species